AUUGAACGCUGGCGGCAGGCCUAACACAUGCAAGUCGAGCGAGCGGCGGACGGGUGAGGAAUGUCUGGGAAACUGCCUGAUGGAGGGGGAUAACUACUGGAAACGGUAGCUAAUACCGCAUACCAUCAGCUGGGCCCAGAUGGGAUUAGCUAGUAGGGAGGGUAACGGCGCACCUAGGCGACGAUCACUAGCGGGUCUGAGAGGAGGACCAGCCACACUGGACCUGAGACCCGGUCCAUAUUCCUACGGUAGGCAGCAGUGGGGAAUUUUGGACAAUGGGCGCAAGCGUGCUGCAGCCAUGCGGCGUGUGUGAAGAAGGCCUUCGGGUUGUAAAGCCCUUUCUGCGGGGAGGCGUUACCCGCAGAAGAAGCACCGGCUAACUCCGUGCCAGCAGCCGCGGUAAUAC
rnacentral:rRNA from 1 species